GGGGGAGCAUGUUAAAAGAUGAAGAUUCUUGGGCUGAUUUCUCAUCAGAAACCAUGGAGGCCAGGAGGCAAUGGGAUGGAGCACAUAAAUCUUUAUUUUAACAAAUGUCUCAGGUGAUUCUGCUGCAGGAGUUCUUUAAAUAAACUCUAGAGAAACUACUCCAGAAAGAAAUCUCUCCUCUCCUGAAAGUUAGAACUAAAUGGUCAACUCUAGGUAAAUGAUUGAAUACAUUAUGGUAUAUUUAUAUGUAACAUUAAAAAUAACAUUGAAAAAUACACACAAUCAAAACAGGAUGAAAAUAUGAACAUGGCCUAAAAUUAACCAAGCUGAGAAUUAAAUCAAGAACUCGAUCCCUUUUAAAACAGCUACCAAAAAUAAAUAAAUAAGACAUGAAUAAACAAUUCUCAAAAGAAGACGUACGAAUGGCCAAUAAAAAUAUGAAAAAAUGUUCAACAUCACUAAUUAUCAGGGAAAUGCAAGUCAAAACCACAAUGACGUUACUCCUGCAAGAACGGCCAUAAUUAAAAUAUCAAAAAAUAACAUAUGUUUGCAUGG
rnacentral:lncRNA from 10 species